AGGACGAACGCUGGCGGCGUGCUUAACACAUGCAAGUCGAACGGAAAGGCCCUUUCGGGGGUACUCGAGUGGCGAACGGGUGAGUAACACGUGGGUGAUCUGCCCUGCACUUCGGGAUAAGCUUGGGAAACUGGGUCUAAUACCGGAUAGGACUACGAAUCGCAUGGUUUGUGGUGGAAAGCUUUUGCGGUGUGGGAUGGGCCCGCGGCCUAUCAGCUUGUUGGUGGGGUGAUGGCCUACCAAGGCGACGACGGGUAGCCGGCCUGAGAGGGUGUCCGGCCACACUGGGACUGAGAUACGGCCCAGACUCCUACGGGAGGCAGCAGUGGGGAAUAUUGGACAAUGGGGGCAACCCUGAUCCAGCCAUGCCGCGUGAGUGAUGAAGGCCUUCGGGUUGUAAAGCUCUUUUGGCGGGGACGAUGACGACGGUACCGCAGAAUAAGCCCGGCUAACUUCGUGCCAGCAGCCGC
rnacentral:rRNA from 1 species